UACGUAGGGUGCAAGCGUUGUCCGGAAUUAUUGGGCGUAAAGGGCUCGUAGGCGGUUUGUCGCGUCGGGAGUGAAAACACGGGGCUUAACCCCGUGCCUGCUUCCGAUACGGGCAGACUAGAGGUAUGCAGAGGAGAUUGGAAUUCCCGGUGUAGCGGUGAAAUGUGUAGAGAUCGGGAGGAACACCGGUGGCGAAGGCGGGUCUCUGGGCAUCUCCUGACGCUGAGGCGCGAAAGCGUGGGGAGCAAACGGG
rnacentral:rRNA from 1 species